UCCAUCAGUGCCUCAAGUUCCCAACCGAGGCAGGAGUGUGCACAGUCCGAGGCUACCAGAAGAAGGCGCGCGAGUGCUACUUCAAUUCGAUCGGUGAAGUAAUGACGUCGAACGAGGGCCUACCCCACUCGAUGCGGGAACGCACAGCAAGACCCGAACCGGCGUCUCACACGAUUCAAGCGCCCCUCGGGCGGGGCGAAGUGCGAAUGGGAAAGGAACUCCCACAGAACAUCAGGGAAGG
rnacentral:lncRNA from 1 species